rnacentral:rRNA from 1 species
GCUUACGGCCAUACCACCCUGAGCAAGCCCGAUCUCGUCUGAUCUCGGAAGCUAAGCAGUGUCGGGCCUGGUUUGUACUUGGAUGGGACACCGCCUGGGAAUACCAGGUGCUGUAAGCU